AUAAAAAUACAAAGACGCUGGCUUCCUAUGUCAGGCCAAUAGUAGGUACAAGGAGACUGGAGCAGGAAAAGGAUGGAAUUGCUGGAGUAUCUGUCCCCUUCUGAUUGUCUCAGCAGCAUCUCCAGUAGCAGGUAUGUCUCUUUAAUGAAUCCAGACAGGUCCUAUUGCUGAAUCACAGCUUUCUCCAGAUCUCCAGGUCUGCGUUUCAUCAGUGCCUUAAUGUCCCAGCAUGACAUCUUAUAAGAAGUCAUCAAAAGAAAGAAAUAAUGUCAUCCACACUCAUCAAGGUCUUCAGCAGCAAAUAUAAAGAAGAAUGACUUCUGAACGUACAUUCUCAAGUUAUCCUUUAAGACUCACCAUGGUUUCAGAAAGGUAGCACACAAGUAUAAAUUACUAAGAAAUGUGUUCUAUUUUAUCUUAGCCCUUGCUUAAGUACAAACUACAAAAACUAUCUGCUUCUGUGAAUCUUUUUCUAGGACUGCUUUCAUGUCAUGUAACAUUUAAAACUCAAAUGAAAAUUUUAGAGGAUUAGUUUCUCAAAUUCAUGCUUGGUAAAGAGCACAUCUAUAAAUGAUUCCACCGAAGCACGUGUUUGGCGUAGAGACAAUCUUGUUGUGGGGUGACUCUUGGAUCUUACUCUAGACUCUGGUAGCCAUGUACUAGAACCCACCAUGGUGUUUGAGGACUGCUAUAGCUUGCAAAUAUCAUAAGGGUAGUAAAAUUCAAUGAAGCCCAAUAUCACAGAGGUAGUUUUGGGGUGUUGAGCUGGGUGUGUUGGAUGUGAUCUGUUGCAUGAAUCCUAAAUGGUAUUAUAAUAAAAACCUCGAGCCAGAUAUCAGGAUGAAAACUAAAAGAUCAGAGAAGCAGAGCAAGCCACAGCCACCACCUCUCACCUCACCAACUCCUCAGCCUGCAAGAGCUCAUGUUCCUGUCUCCUCCGGCCUUAUAUUCCUUUCUUCCCCAGCCAUAUCACUUCCUGUCUCAGCCUUCCUACUGAUGGUGUGUGAUCCCAAGUGCUGGAAUUAAAGGUGUGUGCCACUAUU